GGACGAGUAGGGACGCACGGCGGCGAGGCCGGUCAGUCCCGGAGCCGGCGGCCGCUCCAACACAGGGCGGGGCGCGAGCGCCAGUCCCUGCAGGCCGGGCGCCGCGGAGGGAGCGCGGCCUCCGCCCGGGCGUCUGCCGUUCUCCCCGGAGCCCGCCGCCCGCUCGCCCCGGCUCCCUCCCGCCGCUGCCGCACAGGGCAUAGCCGGGCGCGAGGAGCGAGGUGCGAGGCGUGAGGAGACGGCUGCAGGAGCUCCCGCAGGCCCCGCAGCAGCUCCGCGGCCGCGCGAGGUGUUCUGAGGUCGGCUGCGGGGCCUCUGACCUGCUGAGUGUGCACAGGUGACUCUGUGCGGUGUCUGUCAGUGUGCCGUUCGUGGCGGGGUCUGUGUUCGGGGACGGGUGUGUUUGUGUCUGCAAUUGCCACAGUUGGUUCCGGCCCUCCAUCCCUCCCCAGCCCCAUUCUCAGCCUCGUGGUCCUGACAUGCCCACUGCUUCUGCCCUGGAUGCUUUCUCUGGGCUCCGCCCCCAGCAUUUCCACAUCACGCCUGCUGUCUUAGUCCUGAAGAAAUCCUGUCCUUUGGAUUUGUGCCACCUUCUGUAAGUUGAAAUCUUCUGGACUAAGUGCGGCAGUGAGUUGGAGUCAGAAGAGGAGGUAUUGCCAUCAGAGAGUCAGCAAAUGUGGUUGACCAAGCCCAGAGGAGGGUGCUAAGGGGAGUUGAUGACCUGGACUUUUUCAUAGGGGAUGAAGCCAUAGAUAAACCCACAUAUGCCACAAAGUGGCCAAUAAGACAUGGUAUAAUUGAAGACUGAGAUCUAAUGGCGAGGUUCAUGGAACAAGUGAUUUUUAAUUUUCCCUGAGCUGAACCAGAGUGCCAUCACUUUUUGAUGACAGAACCUCCCCUGAAUACACCAGAAAAUAGAGAAUAUCUUGCAGAAAUUAUGUUUGAAUUAUAUAAUGUACUAGGACUCUACAUUUCAGUUCAGGCUACACACUCUCUCACUUCUAGAAGUUGGGCACCUCAGAAGGCAUAAGAGGAAUUCAGUCACCUGUUCUUGCAACUUCACUGGUAACUGUCUGUGCUUGUACUCGGUGGAACUGAUACAUCUGUCAGAUGGAUGAGGAUUUGCUCCAGCCUUCUGUCUCCAUGAGUGUGUGACAAGCAGCCAGUGCCAUCAGGGAGCUCAGAGUGCCUCCUCUACCUGGUGCAGUUGGGGACAUUGUCCACUCUGCCCAGCUGCUCCCACCAGCAUGAGCUGGAUCUUCCCAACCUGUGGCCUGAAUGUUGAGUGGCACCCUGGUGGGCUGGUGAGGCCCUGGGGUCACACAGCAGCUCCUGGCCCUGUCCUGCUGGUGAUGGCUGACAGCCUGGUCACUGGCCCGGGAGGGCAGCUGGGUGAGCAGAUCCAAACUCCCCCCAGCAUGGAUCUCACAUAGCAUAGGGUUGAGGGGAACCUGCCAGACUGUUCCUUCCUACCAAGUGCAGCUCUUACUAGAGUGAGCAGAUCGGUUAUUGAGUCCUUAAUGCAUGCCUAAACCAUGCUGUGUGCUUGACCCACUGCCUGUCACUAGGUCCCUUCUGUGCACCCACUCUCCUCAUAUGAUGGGUGAAGGUGCCAAGACUGAAACAUAUGUGUUAACAGGUGUGGCCAUGGUUACUCUGCCCACAGAUAUGGAACCAGGAUCUGAGUCCAGGUUGUUACACUCUAAGUCCUGCAUGCUAACCAGAUUGUUGACUUUUAAAUGCAAGCCAAUUUGUAGUUGGUUUAAAAAUUAAUAGUUAAACGGCAAAAAUGUAUGUGACAAUGAAUAUAUAUAUGUUCAUGUAUAACUGAAAAAAUUGUGUUCUACACUGGAAUUUGACACAACAUUGU